rnacentral:tRNA from 1 species
GGUUCCGUAGUGUAGUAUAUCACGUUCGCUUCACGCGAAAGGUUUCCGGUUCGAACCCGGACGGAACCA